rnacentral:rRNA from 1 species
GGAAAAGAAAACAACAGUGAUUCCCUUAGUAACGGCGAGUGAAACGGGAAGAGCCCAGCACCGAAUCUCAUGUGCCUUUGUUGCCAUGCGAAAUGUGGUGUUAGGGAUGAACCAAUUUGCCCUGUGUUUGCGCUUGCUGGUGUCCAAGUCCGAUCGAAAACGGCGGCCUCUAGCCCGUAGAGGGUGCAAGGCCCGUGGGACUGGCGGGUGGCGUGCAGGAGCGGUUCAUCUCGUGGAGUCGAGUUGCUUGAAAGUGCAGCUCAAAGUGGGAGGUAAACUCCUCCUAAGGCUAAAUACAACCACAAAACCGAUAGUGAACAAGUACCGCGAGGGAAAGUUGAAAAGAACUCUGAAGAGAGAGUUCAAUAGUGCGUGAAACUGCUCAGGGGUAAACAGGUGGAUCUACCGAAGCUCGAACAGAUGGAUUUCAGAAUGCCUGGUGGUUGUUCUCCAUGGGCAGGUUGUGGGCUUUGCUGGAAGUGGUUUAUCCCGCUUAUCAGUAGGUUCUGCAGGCUGGCCUGUGCGUAGGCCUCGACUGGCUUUUUUAUGUCUGUCUCAGUAGGACGUCGUGAACUGUGGGUAAACUCGGGGGCAGUGGGGCAAUCUUGGAAUUGCGCUUCUGCGUCUUAACAUUAUGCAGUGUUGCAUGUAAAAAGUGUUAACACUGUGUAGUGGGUAAGUUGGGAUGUUGGCUUGCAGGGUACUCCUCUGCAAGUUGCUCCCAAGUUCUUGGAGAUUUGUGGCACUGCUCUCCUACAGGGAAAUGAAUUGGGUUGUGUGGGUUGCCUCGAAGCGCACCACUGGUGUGGCCUCGGCAAUGCUGUUGGUGUGUGUAGCAGCACCACUGGAGGUUGUGUGCAGUUUGAGGCUUUAUAGACUCCUGCUUGCAAUGUGUCAAGUUAAUCUUGGCUCUCUGGUGAUGUGUUCUUGCUACUCUCAUCAAUUAGCAACUGCAUGAUUCUGAUUCGACGACGAUUAGGAUUGUGAUUCUACCUGACCCGUCUUGAAACACGGACCAAGGAGUCUAACAUGUGCGCGAGUCUUUGGGCCUAAACCCCUAAGGGCGUAGUGAAAGCGAAGGUUUGCCUUAGCAAUCUGAGGGAAGAUCUGCUCGUUAGCCUAAAGCUGCGACAGAGCACUCCCGGCGCUCGUGAAUGGUCCCAGUUUACUGGCGGCCAGUCCGAUGCAGCAUGAGCGCACAUGUUGGGACCCGAAAGAUGGUGAUCUAUGCCCGGCCAGGAUGAAGCCAGGGGAAACUCUGGUGGAGGUCCGCAGCGAUUCUGACGUGCAAAUCGAUCGUCUGAGCUGGGCAUAGGGGCGAAAGACUAAUCGAACCAUCUAGUAGCUGGUUCCAUCCGAAGUUUCCCUCAGGAUAGCUGGCACUCAUCUAAAGGAGUCUCAUCCGGUAAAGCGACUGAUUAGAGGCUUUGGGGUCGCAAUGACCUCGACCUAUUCUCAAACUUUAAAUGGGUGAGAAGCAGAGCUUUCCUGAAUUGGCGAAGCUCUGUGUUUCUUUAGGAUCCAUGAGUGUCUAGUGGGCCAUUUUUGGUAAGCAGAACUGGCGCUGUGGGAUGAACCAAACGCUGGGUUAAGGAGUCCGAGUUACGCGCAUCAGACACCAUUAAAGGCGUCGGUGGCUAAAGACAGCAGGACGGUGGCCAUGGAAGUCGGCAUCCGCUAAGGAGUGUGUAACGACUCACCUGCCGAAGCGACCGGCCCUGAAAAUGGAUGGCGCUGCAGCGUUGCUCCCAUACCCAGCCACUGGAUUAGAGCUUUGAGCGCAUUGUUUCGGCAAGUUGGUGCUUGGCUUGAUGACCCAGUGAGUAGGAUGGAGCGCAGUGGUGAGCGUUGAAGGGGACUGGGCGUGAGCCCGCCUGGAGCCGCCACUGGUGCAGAUCUUGGUGGUAGUAGCAAAUACUCCAGAGAGGCCCUGGAGGACUGAGGCGGAGAAGGGUUUCGCGUGAACAGCUGUUGGACGCGAGUCAGUCGAUCCUAAGUCCUAGGGGAAACCCGAAAUGCAUCGGUGAUGGCUAGUUUCUCCCUGAAAAGAGACAUCUGGUUCUUCUCCAUUGCAUUUGGGACGAAAGGGAAUCCGGCCAAAAUUCCGGAACCUGGUAGCGGAACCGAUGGCCGUAAGGCUGCGAACCCCAGGUGGUGGCAGUUUACUGUCACCACCAGGUUUGUCACGGUAACGUGACUGGACAUGGAGACGCCGGUGGUGGCCUCGGGAAGAGUUUUCUUUUCUCCAAAAGCGGCUAAGGCCCUGGAAACCUCUUGGAGGGAGAGAGGGUUUUGGCUUUUAUGCGAGGAGCGUUGCCAACACGGGGCGGCGUCCGGGGAUCUCCCACCUGGCCCUUGAAAAUCCAUGCGAGGGGAACGCGGUGUUGUCGCUCCAGAUCGUACCCAUAUCCGCAGCAGGUCUCCAAGGUGAACAGCCUCUAGUCGAUAGAUUAAUGUAGGUAAGGGAAGUCGGCAAAUCAGAUCCGUACCUUCGGAAGAA